GGCGUGUGUGCCGUGUCGUGUUUGUCAUCCUUCCAGAGAGCUGCGUCUACCAUUCACUUGGCCGGACGUACGCGAUCUGGAUCGAUUACUUUGAAAAAAUUAGAGUGUUUAAAGCAGGCUUACGCUGUGAAUACAUUAGCAUGGAAUAAUAAUUUAGGACUUCGGUUCUAUUUUGUUGGUUUCUAGGACUGAAGUAAUGAUUGAUAGGGACAGUUGGGGGUGCUAGUAUUCCGCGGCCAGAGGUGAAAUUCUUGGAUUCGCGGAAGACUAACUACUGCGAAAGCAUUCACCAAGGAUGUCUUCUUUAAUCAAGAACGAAAGUUGGGGGAUCGAAGACGAUCAGAUACCGUCGUAGUCUCAACCAUAAACUAUACCGACUAAGGAUCAGUGAACGUUGAUUUACGACUUCAUUGGCACCUUGUGAGAAAUCAAAGUCUUUGGGUUCCGGGGGGAGUAUGGUCGCAAGGCUGAAACUUAAAGGAAUUGACGGAAGGGCACCACCAGGAGUGGAGCCUGUGGCUUAAUUUGACUCAACACGGGAAAACUUACCAGGUCCAGACAUAGUGAGGAUUGACAGAUUGAAGAUCUUUCUUGAUUCUAUGGGUGGUGGUGCAUGGCCGUUCUUAGUUGGUGGAGUGAUUUGUCUGGCUAAUUCCGUUAACGAACGAGACCUCGACCUGCUAAAUAGUACCAGUUAUUCAUUGGAUAAUCUGGGCACUUCUUAGAGGGACUAUCGG
rnacentral:rRNA from 1 species